GGUUAAGCGACUAAGCGUACACGGUGGAUGCCCUGGCAGUCAGAGGCGAUGAAGGACGUGCUAAUCUGCGAUAAGCGUCGGUGAGGUGAUAUGAACCGUUAUAACCGGCGAUUUCCGAAUGGGGAAACCCAGUGUGUUUCGACACACUAUCAUUAACUGAAUCCAUAGGUUAAUGAGGCGAACCGGGGGAACUGAAACAUCUAAGUACCCCGAGGAAAAGAAAUCAACCGAGAUUCCCCCAGUAGCGGCGAGCGAACGGGGAGGAGCCCAGAGCCUGAAUCAGUGUGUGUGUUAGUGGAAGCGUCUGGAAAGGCGCGCGAUACAGGGUGACAGCCCCGUACACAAAAAUGCACAUAUUGUGAGCUCGAUGAGUAGGGCGGGACACGUGGUAUCCUGUCUGAAUAUGGGGGGACCAUCCUCCAAGGCUAAAUACUCCUGACUGACCGAUAGUGAACCAGUACCGUGAGGGAAAGGCGAAAAGAACCCCGGCGAGGGGAGUGAAAAAGAACCUGAAACCGUGUACGUACAAGCAGUGGGAGCCUCUUAAUGGGGUGACUGCGUACCUUUUGUAUAAUGGGUCAGCGACUUAUAUUCUGUAGCAAGGUUAACCGAAUAGGGGAGCCGAAG
rnacentral:rRNA from 1 species